rnacentral:lncRNA from 1 species
AGUUAAAGCUAGUUUUUUGUAUGAAAUCCCACCUCCCAAUUUGAUUUCCAUUUCAUUAGACGUUGGUCUUGACCCUUGACCCUAUGCUGUGCAGUAGCCUGAGGGCUAGGCAUAACCCUGGCGUGCAGACAAGCGUCAGUAAUUCGCUUCCUUCCUUCCUGCGAAUGCCUGUCCUGAGGCAAUAUCAAAGUUAAUGAAGCAUUGCCGAGGCCUUCAAUUUGGGACCUGCUAUUGGCAUAAAUCGGAAGGAAAACAGAGGGAAGGAAUCAGCUGAAGAAGAAGAG